UCAUAGAUGUAUGUAUUUUUAUGGAAGACAUCCUAAAAUUCUGUAUUUUAUUUCAUAGUUAUUAGUGUAGAUCAAAAUGUGCUUGCUGGCAAUGGCAAAUUACCCACCGAAACUUUAUGCAGCGCCCAGUUGUCGAGGUGACUGAACUGAAGUAUUACAAUACGUCUUAUGGAAAAACACACUCCAACACUGAUGUUUUUUGUUUUUUUUUGUUAAUAGAUUAUUCACUUGAACAUUUAUUCAUUUAUUGACCCAGUUAAUUCUCUCGUAUGGUACAUCUUUCUUUAUCAUUAUCAUUAAAACACCAUUAAGAUAAGGAUGACUUUGAUUUCCAGAACACCCGGGAGACUGUCCUGACAUUCGCUUCCAUUGCCUUGGACUUCGGAACAAAGCACCUAAUGUAUGUCCCCAUGACGGCUUCUGUCCGUCCCACCAGAAGUGCUGCUGGGACACCUGCCUCGACCACCACACCUGCAAGCCCGCUCAGCCCGUUCAAUUGAUUAGACCAAUCCCAUUGCGCUGAAAGUGGCUUUGCCUCUGAAGGGCUUACUCUUUUAUUUGUUGAGUUUAUUGUUUUGACUUCUGCUUUCGUCUCCUUAAAGUGUACGAAAGAUAUGAGCUUGUUAUGACUUAUUGGUAAUAAAUGAGAAUUGUA
rnacentral:lncRNA from 1 species